rnacentral:SRP_RNA from 1 species
GCUGGGUGCAAUGGCACAUGCCUGUAGUCCCAGCUACUCAGGGGGCUGAGGCUGGAGAAUUGCUUGAGCCAGGAGUUCUGGGCUGCAGUGUGCUAUGCCGAUUGGAUGUCCGCACUAAGUUCGGCAUCAAUAUGGUGACCUCCUGGGAACAGGGGACCACCAAGUUGCUUAAGGAGGGAUGAACCGGCCCAGGUUGGAAACAGAGCAGGUCAAAACUCCCGUACUGAUUAGUAGUGGGAUUGCGCCUGUAAAUGGCCACUGCACUCCAGCCUGGGCAACAUAGCGAGACCCUGUCUCU